rnacentral:rRNA from 1 species
AGAGUUUGAUUAUGGCUCAGGACGAACGCUGGCGGCACGCCUAACACAUGCAAGUCGAGCGGAGAUUGAGAGCUUGCUCUCAUGAUCAGCGGCGGACGGGUGAGUAACACGUGAGCAACCUGCCUUUCAGAGGGGGACAACAGUUGGAAACGACUGCUAAUACCGCAUAACAUUGCCGAACGGCAUCGUUUGGCAAUCAAAGGAGCAAUCCGCUGAAAGAUGGGCUCGCGUCUGAUUAGAUAGUUGGUGAGGUAACGGCCCACCAAGUCGACGAUCAGUAGCCGGACUGAGAGGUUGAUCGGCCACAUUGGGACUGAGACACGGCCCAG